ensembl:lncRNA
AGUUUCAAUGAGCACUUUAACAGGAAUACCUGGUAGAUUAGCUGGUGAGUGCAGACAAAUAAAUUCAGUUGUUUUAAAAAUGCAUAACCACUUCAAACAGAGUCGAUAUUGGAGACAACUGCUCCUUACUAAAACAGAAUAAGUCUUCUGGUACCAAUUGGAACCAGCUGAUUAAGAUCAGUUUUACUUUUAUUCCUUCUAUGUGAGUUUGGCGUGAACUUUUUUAUCAUCUGAAUCUUGUGUGUGACACAGUUGCUGUAGCUCUGGGAGUCCCCUUGCGGAGGAAAAUAAAAACAGCAACUCACGAAGGGCAGUGCAGUUGCUGUCCAGCAGAGGGCAGCGUACCCCUAAAAUUACCGAAUGGACUGAACCUUUUCCGGCUCGGUCAAGACAGAAAACUGCAUUUGCUAUUCUAAUCUGUUUCCUCUUUUCAUUCCUUUUACUUUUUUCACUUUCUCUCGCUCUUUUUUUUAAAUUCAGCCCCCAUGAGUCUCUCUUUCUCUGUCAACAAUGCUUAAGUUGCACACAGACAGACGAUACCACAGAAGCAGGGAAACCAUGUCUGGUUCUUAAGUUGUGCAAGAGAGAGCUGUUUUUUCUCUCCUCUCCUCACUAUAAUAAUUUCAGCUCUACCUGACUCUGCUAAAGCCAUCACUCUGCCCCCCGCUCCAGCUGAAACUUUGUGUCUUUUUUAUUUUUUAUUUCUUUUUGUGACCCUUACUCUUUACAUGUCUCCUCACUGCUUGUCUCCUCACCCUUCUCCCUCCCUCUCUCUAAAUGUUUUUGUUGCUUUUUUUCUCCUAAGUAAUAAUUCUCCCUCCGGCCCAUUCUCUCUUUAUCUGUCCAUUCACUCCCUCCAUAUCUGCCUUUUCCAUCCCUUCUGAGUCCAAAUGCUGUCAAAGUCAUUGACUGCAUGGGUAUGACAUCAGCUCCCACUGAGAUCAAUGAGGCUGACAUCUGAUCUGGGGGGGGGGGGAUGAAUAUGUGUGCAUGUGUUGUUUUGAGUCUUUCCACCAUGCUCAUUACACAUUUCAUCAUAGCUCUGCAUCCUUCUACUCUGAGACGAAAUCAGCAUUUAACUGCAUGUUUGCAUUACAU